rnacentral:rRNA from 1 species
UCGCACCUACCGAUUGAAUGGUCCGGUGAAGCCUCGGGAUUGUGGUCUGGUUCCUUUACUGGGACUUGACCGCGAGAACUUGUCUAAACCUUAUCAUUUAGAGGAAGUAA